rnacentral:rRNA from 1 species
AUUGAACGCUGGCGGCAGGCCUAACACAUGCAAGUCGAACGAGGCGCGGACGGGUGAGUAAUGUCUGGGAAACUGCCUGAUGGAGGGGGAUAACUACUGGAAACGGUAGCUAAUACCGCAUACCAUCAGAUGUGCCCAGAUGGGAUUAGCUUGUGGGUGGGGUAACGGCUCACCAAGGCGACGAUCCCUAGCUGGUCUGAGAGGAUGACCAGCCACACUGGAACUGAGACACGGCCCAGACUCCUACGGGAGGCAGCAGUGGGGAAUAUUGCACAAUGGGCGCAAGCCUGAUGCAGCCAUGCCGCGUGUAUGAAGAAGGCCUUAGGGUUGUAAAGUACUUUCAGUGGGGAGGCGUUACCCGCAGAAGAAGCACCGGCUAACUCCGUGCCAGCAGCCGCGGUAAUUC